rnacentral:rRNA from 1 species
UACAGAGGUCCCAAGCGUUGUUCGGAUUCACUGGGCGUAAAGGGUGCGUAGGCGGUUGGGUAAGUCUGAUGUGAAAUCUAUGGGCUCAACCCAUAGUCUGCAUUAGAAACUGUCGGGCUUGAGUAUGGGAGAGGUGAGUGGAAUUUCCGGUGUAGCGGUGAAAUGCGUAGAUAUCGGAAGGAACACCUGUGGCGAAAGCGGCUCACUGGACCAUUACUGACGCUGAUGCACGAAAGCUAGGGGAGCAAACAGG